rnacentral:rRNA from 1 species
UACGUAGGUGGCAAGCGUUGUCCGGAUUUAUUGGGUUUAAAGGGUGCGUAGGCGGCCUUGUAAGUCAGUGGUGAAAUACUCCAGCUUAACUGGAGGGGUGCCAAUGAUACUGCAGGGCUUGAGUACAGAUGAGGUAGGCGGAAUUGACGGUGUAGCGGUGAAAUGCGUAGAGAUCGGGAGGAACACCAGUGGCGAAGGCGGCUACCUGGACCAGCACUGACACUGAGGCACGAAAGCGUGGGGAGCAAACAGG